AUGUCCGCCGUUGACUCGUGGCACUUCUGCGCCAAGCUUGCCCGCCAAUUCAUGAAGGGCUGGGGCGCUAAUCUUGGCCGUGACUUCCGCGAGCGUAAAAGAUCUCUCCUGUUGGCUAUUCAGGCUCUGGACGCCCGGGCCGACUCCUCCGGGCUCUCCCCAGAUGAGUGGAUGCUGAGAUAUGAUCUUGAGGAUCAACUCUCCUCCAUCUACACAGAUGAGGAGGCAUACUGGAGGUUGCGUGGUACCCAAAGAUGGGUGCUCCGCGGUGAUGCGAACACUGCAUAUUUCCAGGCGGUUGCGAAUGGCUGA
rnacentral:rRNA from 1 species